rnacentral:rRNA from 1 species
UACGUAGGGGCCUAGCGUUGUCCGGAUUUAUUGGGCGUAAAAGAGCGUGUAGGCGGCCAGACAGGUCAGCUGUGAAAACUCGAGGCUCAACUCGAGACGUCGGUUGAAACCGUCUGGCUAGAGUCCGGAAGGAGGAGAGUGGAAUUCCCGGUGUAGCGGUGAAAUGCGCAGAUAUCGGGAGGAACACCUGUGGCGAAAGCGGCGCACUGGACCACAACUGACGCUGAGGCGCGAAAGGCUAGGGGAGCAAACAGG